GGGUGCACCAGGCGCGAAAACUUUACAAUGCGGGAAACCGUGAUAAGGGGACACCGAGUGCCAGCAUCAUAUGCUGGCUGUCCAGGUGUGUAAAAUACACCUGUUAGCAAGGGCCGGGCAAGACCGGUGCCAGCCGCCGCGGUAACACCGGCGGCCCGAGUGGUGAUCGUGAUUAUUGGGUCUAAAGGGUCCGUAGCCGGUUUGGUCAGUCCUCCGGGAAAUCUGAUAGCUCAACUAUUAGGCUUUCGGGGGAUACUGCCAGACUUGGAACCGGGAGAGGUAAGAGGUACUACAGGGGUAGGAGUGAAAUCUUGUAAUCCCUGUGGGACCACCUGUGGCGAAGGCGUCUUACCAGAACGGGUUCGACGGUGAGGGACGAAAGCUGGGGGCACGAACCGGAUUAGAUACCCGGGUAGUCCCAGCCGUAAACGAUGCUCGCUAGGUGUCAGACAUGGCGCGACCGUGUCUGGUGCCGCAGGGAAGCCGUGAAGCGAGCCACCUGGGAAGUACGGCCGCAAGGCUGAAACUUAAAGGAAUCGGCGGGGGAGCACAAGGGCGAAUCGCG
rnacentral:rRNA from 1 species